GCCAGAUCCGCCGCCGCCCAGGAGCAGGAGCUGUGGGGGCUGGUAUAAAUCCUUAACAUGGGGCCAGCCACCCUCCCAGCGCCAAGCACCCAGGAAUGGCCUCUUCCUGGGCCACGCGGCUGCUGCUCCUCGCAGCCUGGAGCCUGGGCUGUGGUGAGUAGUGGGGGAAUCUGGCGGGACCCUGCCCUGGGCCUCAGUCUGCCCACCUCCUAGAGGGCGGGGGCUGUUGGGGGCUGUAUGGCGCUCAGUGAGCCUCCAGAGCCCAACUGCACCCUGGGAGAGUGUCAUGGCUCCACUCUCCUUGAAGGGAGACGGAGGCUGGGGUGGUAAGGUGCAGGGUUCACACCCGUCUCCAGCCCGCCCGCCCUCGAAGGAGCUCAGCAGGUGUCCUCCAGCCCCAUCCUCCGGGCUCCAGGAUGGGCUGAGCUGGCCAGGUGAUGAGGUUCUGCUGCCCCCCCUCCCAGGUGAGGCCUUCAGGUGCUACUCCUGCGAGCGGCCCACGCCUAUUUACGCAUGCAAAAACAUUACCUACUGCAAGCUGGAGGACACGGCCUGCAAGACCACACUGGAGAAGGUGGAGAACGGUGAGGCUGGGCCCAGGGCAGGCCCCAGCACAGGGCAGGCCCACCUCUCCCAAAGGCCUCCCUGGGUGCACCUUGCUCCUCUGGGCCUGGGAGGCAGAGGGGCAGGAAGUGCAGGGUGGAGGCUUCCCAUCUGAGAGGGGUGCCUGCAACAAGGGAAGCUCAGCACCCCAGACCCCAGGCCCCAGGCACUGGGAGUGGGGUGCGCUCUGCUCAGACUGUUGGAUGGUGCUGCUGCAGCCUCAGGGCUGGGCUCCCUCUCAGGCCCGGGCACCGCAGGUGCUCCGGGCACUAGUGCUAUUAUUAGAAAAACCUGUCACCGUUGAGGUUGGGGACUGGAAGGCUCCCAGAUCUGGGACAGGAAUGCCGGUGGGGUUGGAGGAGGUAGGAAGCACAGGUGGUGGUCAGGAGCAGCAGGGGGGACACACAGAGCCAGGCAGGCACUGCAGUGGGUGCAGGCUCUGACGCCUGCCCACCCUGCAGAGUACCCCUUCGACCAGAGCCCCAUGGUGACCCGCUCCUGCUCCGACUCCUGCCUAGCCACUGACCCCGACAGCAUCGGGGCUGCCCACCCCGUCUUCUGCUGCUUCCGCGACCUCUGCAACUCAGCGGAGGCAGCCCAGCUGGGUGCUGGGACUCUGGCCACACUGGGAGCAGUGCUCCUCGGGCACCUCCUCUCCUGACAGGGCCUAGCACUGCUGGCGGCCACCUCUGCCUACACGUCUCCGUGAGCCAGGCCACUCACUCUGUCCCCAAAACAUGUAGAAAAUAAAUAAGCCAAGGGUGGAGAUGAGUUUUGUCCU
rnacentral:lncRNA from 1 species